rnacentral:rRNA from 1 species
GUGGGGAAUAUUGGACAAUGGGGGCAACCCUGAUCCAGCCAUGCCGCGUGAAUGAUGAAGGCCUUCGGGUUGUAAAGUUCUUUUGGAGGGGACGAUGAUGACGGUACCCUCAGAAUAAGCUCCGGCUAACUUCGUGCCAGCAGCCGCGGUAAUACGAAGGGAGCUAGCGUUGUUCGGAAUUACUGGGCGUAAAGGGCGCGUAGGCGGUUUGGUUAGUCAGAUGUAAAAGCCCAGGGCUUAACCCUGGAACUGCGUUUGAUACUGCCAAGCUUGAAUUCGGGAGAGGUGAGUGGAAGUCCCAGUGUAGAGGUGAAAUUCGUAGAUAUUGGGAAGAACACCGGUGGCGAAGGCGGCUCACUGGACCGACAUUGACGCUGAGGCGCGAAAGCGUGGGGAGCAAACAGGAUUAGAAACCCUAGUAGUCC